rnacentral:rRNA from 1 species
AGGACAAACGCUGGCGGCGUACCUAAGACAUGCAAGUCGAACGGGACUUUCCGCCUUUGGUGGGAAGUCGAGUGGCGGACGGGUGAGUAACGCGUGGGAACCUGUCGCGCGGUGGGGGAUACCGCCGGGAAACCGGCGCUAAUACCGCAUAGGUUCAUCGGAAGGUGAACAAAGCAGCAAUGCGCCGUGUGAGGGGCCCGCGUCCGAUUAGCUGGUUGGUGGGGUAACGGCCUACCAAGGCGACGAUCGGUAGCUGGU